rnacentral:pre_miRNA from 1 species
UAAACACACCAGUCGGAGACGCGUUCCAGGCACCAUAGUUGGGGUAUGGUGCCUGGAACGCGUCUCCGACUGGUGUGUUUA